rnacentral:rRNA from 1 species
UGGGGAAUAUUGCACAAUGGGCGCAAGCCUGAUGCAGCCAUGCCGCGUGUAUGAAGAAGGCCUUCGGGUUGUAAAGUACUUUCAGCGGGGAGGAAGGGAGUAAAGUUAAUACCUUUGCUCAUUGACGUUACCCGCAGAAGAAGCACCGGCUAACUCCGUGCCAGCAGCCGCGGUAAUACGGAGGGUGCAAGCGUUAAUCGGAAUUACUGGGCGUAAAGCGCACGCAGGCGGUUUGUUAAGUCAGUUGUGAAAUCCCCGGGCUCAACCUGGGAACUGCAUCUGAUACUGGCAAGCUUGAGUCUCGUAGAGGGGGGUAGAAUUCCAGGUGUAGCGGUGAAAUGCGUAGAGAUCUGGAGGAAUACCGGUGGCGAAGGCGGCCCCCUGGACGAAGACUGACGCUCAGGUGCGAAAGCGUGGGGAGCAAACAGG